UUGGGAAUUGGUGCUUGUGGCCAAGAUGCUGUUGAUUCCGAUGAGCUUAAGUUUGUGUAUCACAGAGAUGGUCAAGAUUUUAUCCAGGUCUUACCAACUUUUGCUUCACUAUUCACCCUUGGAUCUAUGA